CAGAGAUCCACGUAGCCCAAAACCCUUACAUUUACUAAUCAGAAGAAGGUUUUAAGCUUGCAGAUGUUCUUAGUGUAAAAAUAUAGAUGAGUGCACUGACAGACCAGAUGGCCAUAAGGAUGCUUACUGCCAUCCCAGGCUUCUACUUAGGCUGAAAGUGUCAGCUGAAGCUGUUUAGGAGAAAAUCAGAGGAAGAGGGCCCAGGGGACCUGCUUAAGACCACGGCAACUACUUCCAUUGCUCUCAUCUAUAUAGAGGCUGGAAACCUUCUUUGAUCUUUGGAGUUUAAAAAACGAUAAUGGUUAACUUGAAUCUCAGAAGACAUCUGAGAGGCAAAAGGAUGCCAAAAUAAAAUGGCAAUGAAAGGCAACCCAUGAGAAGACAGAACACAGCAAAAGUGAUGACUUGUCAGUUCUGAAUCCAGGCCCUAAGAAGCCCUAUGUACUUCUUCUUUCUCUGUCUUGGAGCCUGCCCAGUUCCCACAUGAACAAACUCAGGCCUCUUGGAGGAUGAGAGACACCAUGGAGGAGGGAGAUGAGUCAUCUCAGCUGCAGCCACUCUUCGGCCAACUGGAUGACUGGAUGACUACGGUAGCACUAGCCAGCCCUGUCUAGAACCAGCUGGACCUGGGCCAGAUCAUCAGAGCCAUUCAGGAGCUAAAUAAAUGGUUGGUGCUUCCAGCCAUCAAGUGUUUGGGGGUAGUUUUUUACACAAUGAGAGCUAAUUGUCAUUUAAACGGUAAAAGCCUUAGUAAAUAUAAGCUACUGCUGGCCAA